GUGUGCUCCUAAGAGAGUGGCAGAGGGAGACUGGGCACACACGCACGGCCUGGCGAGCACGCAGCCCCGGGAGCUGCAGGAGGCAGGGAGGACCCUCCCCGGAGCCCCUGGCGGGAGCACAGCCCCACAAAGCCUUGAUUUCAGACGUCUGCUCCCCACGGAGAUGGAUUCUGUUGUGUCGGGUCACCCACUUUGCACCCGCGGUCCUGGACACGCCAGCCUGGGCCCUGGUCUCUGGGAGGACCCAGGACCUCGCAGACGGGUGAAGGCCGAGACCCAGAGAGAAGCAAGCAGCAGAAGCCUUCCCGGGUCAUCGAGGACCGUCCUCACCCACCCUGUGGGGGUCUCACAGAAGCUCCAGGGCUGAGGGACCCUGGACCUCUGGAUUCCAGAGGGUCAAGGCGGCCUGACUGUCAAACACGAUCCAUGGGUGCAGACAGCGGGCGGGACAGGGGUCAGGGAGUGCGGAGACCGAGGCCAGUGGAGGCCCCGGGGAGGCUCUGGUCUGCAGCUCACCCCGGAGGCCGGCAAGCCACGUCCACCAGAGUUGGUACGGGGGUGCCCCCAGCAGCUCCCGGGACACCCCGUCCCCCGUGUUCCAGGGCACGUGCCUCGAGGCUCCCGGAGAAGUGCAUGCUCCCCACAAGGCCGCAGGCUCCAGCGGGGACUUGGGUGAAGACACCCGAGUGUCCUGGGCUGUAAAUAAAUGACGGAAGCCUGGGGACUCAUAACCAAAGAGACGUACUGUCCCCUGGUCUGCAGCCGGAGUCUGAGAUCGAGUCACCAGUCACUGCUGCGACCCCACGCUGACCUGAGAGCAUCUGCAAAGCCUUUUCGUACCAAUGAGGCCGAGUCCCGGGUCCCGGGACACAGAGUCUUUGGAGGACACAAGUCCACUCGCUGCCCACGCUGGCAAAGGGCCAGGCCUCUGACCGCCGCCGCCUCCCCCGGCCCAGCCGCCUGGUGUGUGACCGGGGCGAGGCGUGCACCCCUGCGCCUACCUCCUCCCCGAAAGAGGGGCGACACGGGGAGCCCUCCGUGGACCGCGGUGCCUGCGCCCGGGGCACGGCCGGCAGCUCUGAAUCGUCAGCGGACACCCAGGUCGGGAGUUUCAGGAACUCUCUGCUGUUGCCGGAUGCCGACGCUCACGGCCCGGCGGUGGAAGCCACCCUCACGGUGAACAGAGUGCGCGGGUGGGCGGUUUCUGGGGCGCAGCUGGUCCCCGUUUGCGUCUCUCCGACCAAAGGGCGGAGCUUUCUUAAAGUCGGAGACGUGCCCGCCCGCCCAUCCGCACCGGGGGCUCUGUCUCCCGGACAGACGUCCACGGAGCCCACGCGCACAGAGUUGCGCGAAGGUCGGGCGCGCGGCCAAGCGAGAUGGGGGAGGGAAGCAAGCGUCAAAGCCACGGAGGCUCGGCGGUCCUCACGCGGGUGACCGCGGCCGGGGCUCGCCCUGCGGCUGGAGGACACGUGACGGAAGUGAGCCACCACGUGCAUGAACGCGGCCGCUUAACUUCACACGGAGGGACCAUUUUAAAUGAAUUUAAAACAGUAAUUUGUACAUCAUUAGCGGCUAAAUCCUCAGAUUGAAAAUGACAUUAACCCGCGUCUGUAAACAGAUGGUCGGUAAUCUCGAUAUUAUUGUUCAUACCGCGAUGGGUUAGCUAUUUCUUAACGGGUGCCGUGUGCGCGCACUGCUCGGGAGGGGUGU
ensembl:lncRNA